UCCGGCUUAAAGCCGGCAGUCUCCGGUGAAAAAUUCAACACCGGAUAAGGGUUUCGCUCGUUUACGGACUUAACCGUACAUCUCACGACACGAGCUGACGACGACCGUGCAACACCUGUCAUCGGGUUCCUUGCGGCACGGCCUACUUUCAUAGGCUUUCCCGAGAUGUCAAGCCUGGGUGAGGUGCCCCGCUUGUCGUCGAAUUAAACCACAUGCUCCACCGCUUGUGCGAGCCCCCGUCAAUUCCUUUGAGUUUUAGUCUUGCGACCGUACUUCCCAGGCGGCACACUUAACGCGUUAGCUUCGGCACAAGGAGGGUCGAUACUCCCAAUGCCUAGUGUGCAUCGUUUACGGCGUGGACUAC
rnacentral:misc_RNA from 1 species